GAGUUUGAUCCUGGCUCAGAACGUACGCUGGCGGCACGCCUAACACAUGCAAGUCGAACGCAGUAGCAAUACUGAGUGGCGAACGGGUGAGUAUAAUGUAGGUAUCUGCCUUUUGGUUUGGAAUAACACGAGGAAACUUGUGCUAAUACCGGAUAAGCCUUCACAGGGAAAGUUUUAUACGCCAAAAGAUGAGCCUGCACUUGAUUAGCUAGUUGGUAAGGUAAUGGCUUACCAAGGCUACGAUCAAUAGCUGAUCUGAGAGGAUGAUCAGCCACAUUGGGACUGAGACACGGCCCAAACUCCUACGGGAGGCAGCAGUGGGGAAUCUUGCACAAUGGGGGAAACCCUGAUGCAGCGAUGCCGCGUGAGUGAAGAAGGCCUUUGGGUUGUAAAGCUCUUUCGUCGGGGAAGAAAAUGACUGUACCCGAAUAAGAAGGUCCGGCUAACUUCGUGCCAGCAGCCGCGGUAAUACGAAGGGACCUAGCGUAGUUCGGAAUUACUGGGCUUAAAGAGCUCGUAGGUGGUUAGAAAAGUUGGUGGUGAAAUCCCAAGGCUUAACCUUGGAACUGCCACCAAAACUUUUUGACUAGAGUGUGAUAGAGGUAAGUGGAAUUUCUAGUGUAGAGGUGAAAUUCGUAGAUAUUAGAAAGAACACCAAUUGCGAAGGCAGCUUUCUGGAUCACUACUGACACUGAGGAGCGAAAGCAUGGGUAGCGAAGAGGAUUAGAUACCCUCGUAGUCCAUGCCGUAAACGAUGUGUGCUAGACGUUGGAAAUUUAUUUUUCAGUGUCGCAGCAAAAGCGUUAAGCACACCGCCUGGGGAGUACGACCGCAAGGUUAAAACUCAAAUGAAUUGACGGGGACCCGCACAAGUAGUGGAGCAUGUGGUUUAAUUCGAAGAUACGCGCAGAACCUUACCAACACUUGACAUGUUCGUCGCGACUCUAAGAGAUUAGAGUCUUCGGUUCGGCCGGACGAAACACAGGUGCUGCAUGGCUGUCGUCAGCUCGUGUCGUGAGAUGUUGGGUUAAGUCCCGCAACGAGCGCAACCCUUACUUUUAGUUGCUACCAUUUAGUUGGGCACUCUAAAAGAACUGCCAGUGAUAAGCUGGAGGAAGGUGGGGAUGACGUCAAGUCCUCAUGGCCCUUAUGUGUUGGGCUACACACGUGCUACAAUGGUACUUACAGUGAGAAGCAAAGAGGCGACUCUAAGCCAAUCCCUAAAAGGUACCUCAGUUCGGAUUGUACUCUGCAACUCGAGUACAUGAAGCUGGAAUUACUAGUAAUCGCGGAUCAGCGCGCCGCGGUGAAUACGUUCCCGGGUCUUGUACACACCGCCCGUCACACCAUGGAAGUUGGUUACACCUUAAGGCAAAGUAUAAAACCUUUGACUACGGUACGAUCAGCAACUGGGGUGAAGUCGUAACAAGGUAGCCGUAGGGGAACCUGCGGCUGGAUCACCUCCUUUCU
rnacentral:rRNA from 1 species